rnacentral:misc_RNA from 1 species
UCCGGCUUGUCGCCGGCGGUCCCUCUAGAGUGCCCAUCUCUGAGCGUGGCACGGGAUGUCAAACCCUGGUAAGGUUCUGCGCGUUGCGCCGAAUUAAACCACAUGCUCCACCGCUUGUGCGGGCCCCCGUCAAUUCCUUUGAGUUUCAACCUUGCGGCCGUACUCCCCAGGCGGGACGCUUAAUGCGUUAGCUGCGCCACUGAUAAGCAUGCUUACCAACGGCUAGCAUCCAUCGUUUACGGCGUGGACUAC